rnacentral:lncRNA from 10 species
GGAAGGGCCUCCAACCUCACACAGUGGGAAAGUCAUCCAGUCAUUAAACAAAUAGCAAGGGAAGGCCUCUUGCAGCCACUCAGGACGCUGCACAUGCCACGGUCUCCCUCAGUCUCCACCAUCCUGGUGAGGCAGGACUGCUCCCAAGCCCCUUAUAAAGAUAAGGAGUCCGAAGCUCGGUGAGGAGAAGAGGUGACUGAGCCUGGACACUGUCUCCAUGAGUGGUACACCCAGCAUCACAUUGAAGUCCAGCAGCCUGCAAGGAAGACAUCACUGCCAACAGGACUGGAGGUUUGAAUUCACACGACUCUGAAGCAGGGGAGCGUGGAGAAUCGGAGGACCACCCAAUCAGCAGCAGCAUCCCUGAAGACUGAUGGAUCCACGUGGCAAGAGCUUGAGCUGGAAAGUCCAAGGGUCCUAGACCAGAAUCCCUGUUCCAACAGGUACUCUCUAGCUGGGCUUAGGCAACUUCCUUCACCUAGCAGAGCCUCAGCUUCUUCAUCUAAAAAAGAGAAUGGUGCCCUGCCCCAGUGGUCGAAUCAGAGCAGAGACACAGUGCCCCACACAGCAGCAGAGGCAGAUGGUCACACAGAAGAAGAGGCAGCGUCACUGGGGAGCCCAGCUGGGGCAGGUGAGCUUCACAAUCCCUGCUGAGCCAAGAACUGGGAUUCCACGGAUCUCUGGGAAGUUCUGGAGGGGAUGGCUCAGGGAAGUUUGGAAGUGUGUAAACACAAGUAUGUAAAACUCAGCAGCCUGGUUAACACUGCAGUUUGCUCAUCCAGGCCCACCUCUGGGCAUGCUGGAGCUCCCCAUGGGCUCAAGGCUCUGGGGCCCACACUUUCUUCCUUCUCUAAACAACUCUGAUAAUGUAGCUUACUGUCAUUUAUCUGAGCUUUUUAUCUGAACUAUGUAAAGUAUAAGAAGCUGCUGGAGUAAUAAAGGUCAUACACAGGUACUUUCACCAGGCAGAUGUUUGCCGGGACUGCCUACAUUGAGGGAUUGUGCAUGCCAUAAAGAAUGAGACAGAAUUCAUUAGCUAGCUUUGAGGGUACAGGGGGCUUCCCAGGAAGAAAGCUCUGCCUGCACAAAAGAAUCCAUAAGACCAGUGGGGGCCAAUGGCAUACAGAGACAGUGGCCUAAGACAAAGCAGUCUCAGGACAGGGUGAGAUCCAUCCAUGUCCAGCAAGAGCAGGGGAGGGAAAGCCACGGGAGGCCCACCGGCAGGAAGCAGCCUGACCCCAUGUAUUUUACACCAUUCUGGGAGUGCGGGCUUAUAGGGAGCAGACUCAGAAGGAGAGCGGCCAGUCUGAAGACUGUUGCAAAACUGUCUGCAUUAGAGGUGAUGACAGUGGACCUGGGGCAAUGAGAGGAAGGAAGAAAUGUUGGCAGGACUGGGGACUGAGAGAUUUGCAGAUGAGACAAAAGGAGGAAUUCGAGAUGGCUCCAAGGUUUCCAAUUCAAAUGGCUGCAUUAGACGGCAAACAAGAGGUAACUUCCAUACAUAACCCUUAAGUACCAGUGAAAAAACUGAUAGCUGAAGCCGAAAUGUGAAAAGCAGGAGAGCAGGAGGAAAAAGAACUAAAGCAUCUGCAGAUUCAGAAAUGCAUGGGAGCAAGUAUAGAUGGCAGCCAGUCAGCCACAACAUGUACCUACCCAGGGCCUCAUCUGAGUCACUGGGCCACACCACAGAGAAAUACAAAUGCAAGGUAUAAAAUAAUUAACUUUGGGUUUCCCACCCAUUAGAUAUUGUACAGUUCUUGUGUCUGCUGUAUGAGAAUCCAUAUUUUCACUCAAAAGAUAUUCACUGAGCACUUGCUGUGUGCCCGGCACUGUUCUGAAUGCUACAGACAGAGCCAGGAAGUGAUACACCCACACAGAAAAAGUUACUUGGUCUGUUUGUGCCGAAUCCACCAAGGACUAGAGUCUGGCCCUGGACUUUGGUAAAGAAAAGAGAGAUGUGUCCCUAUUCUGUCCACAGGGAACCAGGCCGUGGUGCAAGUGUGGAUUCCUGCCUUCUCAGUUUGGAGACAAAUACACACACCAGCAAUUCCAACACACCGAGGCACGUGCGCGGCACAAUGAGAAGCCCAGAUCUGCUGGGAAGCUGAGCACAAGGGAGGGGGACUCUGGAGCUGGGCCUGGAAAGGGGAAAUAAAGCUGUGACUUGAAGACCAGCAGGAAUCACUGGCACAGGAGAGGGUUGUGGCAUUCCAUAGAGAAGGGACAGAUGACAGGAUGGGGCCCCGCUGGCUCAGGGGGCUUCUGCAUAUGCCAGGAUCAUUGAAGGUCAAGCAUAUUCAGAGGUAAAAGGGCAAACGGACAUCACAAGCAAAAAGAAUGACAUGUACAAGAGAUGGUGAGGGCACAGGACACUGGAGGCUUUCAGAGGUUCACUGCAGAUCUAGAGGUGGGCAAAGUGGGAGAGGGUAAGAAGUCAGGGUGCAGAGCAGGCAGCGGCUAGGUCCUAAGUAACAUAGCAGGUUCUUAAGGCGCUUAGGCUGUCCCUGAACAGCAGUGGGUGUCACAAAGGGGUGCGUUCAGAGUAAGGAUAAGAUGGGUUCAUAUGUCAUAAAGAUGCUUAACGCUAGGGAGACAAGGUGGAAGGUGAAAGGCAUACAGCCAGGGGAUGCCUAGGAAAAUCCACUGAAAUUCGGGAAUAAAAAAGAAUUCUUCUUUACCUUUCUUAACUCAUCCUUUUGAAACUUACCAUUAUAAUACCAUGUGUGUAUUAUAACACCUAUAGCAUAUUAAUACAGCAGUCUAUGUAUCUGAGCCAAAAGGCCUGAGUCUACAUCCCUGGUCCAUUGCUUACUACAGGGUGACACUGGAUAGGAUGCUUGCCCCAGUUUCCUCAUCCAUGAAAUGGGAAUAAAAACAGUAACUACCUCAUAGGGCUUUUAUGAAGAGGAAAUGAAUUAAUAUUUGUAAGACACUCAGAAGAGAGGCAGGCCCAUAGUAAGAACUCUACAGAUGCUUAUUGAAUUUUAAAAAUGCAGCUUAUUACUAAAUAAAUAUUUAAUGGGGAUAAAUCCCCCAAAAUAUCUGCAAACCACUGGUGUACACAGAGCAUGAAUUGGGGUAAAUAGGCAGACUGGAGCUGUCACAGAGUCCACAGAAAAGAUGAUGGACCCACGAGGACAACAGCAGGGAUAGGGGAAGGAUUGAAGUGAUAUUCAGCAGGUAGUCAAUCGACCACGGUAAGUGUCGGGAUGUGACGGGGAUGUUUCUGGCUGAAUGGUGGGGGCCAGUCAGCAGGAUGAAAUAGAGGAGGAUCAUCAGUUGGGAGCUGGAUGAGUUUCGGAUUGAACACACUGCAUAACUUAAACUGCCUGGGGGACACCCAAACUGAAACAUGGGCAAGGAAGAUAUUUGCAAGACAUGAGAACACAGCUGGUGGUGAAAUCAGGCAAAUGGAUAAGAACCAUGCGGCCGUCACUAGUGACGGUCACCAAGCAUUUCCAGGGCUCCCCUACCCCGAGAAUAGGGCAGAACUGCACUUCUUGGGCCCUUGAACUCAGGUGGGGCCAUGUGAUUCCCUGCUGGCUGAUAUAGUUUGGAUUUGUGUCUCCACCCAAAUCUCAUGUUGAAUUGGAGGAGAGGCCUGGUGGAAGGUGAUUGGAUCAUGGGGGUGGAUUUCCUCCUUACUGUUCUCAUAAUAGUGAGAUCUGAUGUUCUCAUGAGAUAUGAUGGUUUAAAAGUGUGAGGCACUUCCCCCUUCAUUCACUCUCUCUCCUGCCACCAUAUAAAGACGGUCCUUGCUUCCCCUUCAACUUCUGCAAUGAUUGUAAGUUUCCUGAGGCCUCCCAGUCAUGCUUCCUGUUAAG